UCCAGGGUAGCCUAGUGAACAUGGCAUCUGCCCAGUAAGCGGAACACUGUGGGUUCGAUUCUUAUCCAUGGAC
rnacentral:tRNA from 1 species